rnacentral:lncRNA from 1 species
GUUUGAUGUAUCAUUUACUUCACUGAAUAUACAUGACAUUAAAAGAAGCAAAACAAGUAUAACAUUGGCUUAAUGACCUUGUGCAUGUCAUAUCACCAGCGUUAAGAAGGCAGUAUUCAUUUCGAAGCAUCAGUCGCCCGCAAUUGCCGAUAAGGGUUUUCAGUGAACGACUAAAUUCCAGCUUAACAAUUAAUUCUAACCGGCUGAUUUAAAAUGGAUUUUAUUAUUAACAAAUGCAUCUAACAUAUAUUAAAUUAAUAUAAUUCAUUCAUAACAUGAGAAGUAGGUUAUACAAUUCACCUGAGUUAUUCUAAUUUGCCAUUUUCAUUGCAGAAAAGAGGAUAUUGAAUAUGUAUGUUUUAAUAAACAAUACCAAAAACUCGACACUUUUGACGAGUAUGGUAAUUGAUGGAGUGUGGUGUAAAUGACAAUGAGAUGAGACAACAGAAGGUCGAGAUCAAUAUGAAUACAAAAUAAAACCGGGUGUAAAAAGGUUGUAAAAUAUUAUGAGUAAUAUUACAAAAUAUUCGUGAAAAAGUCUUAACAAAACCAACCCUUUUAAGCUAAUUUUUGUUGCAUGUGUUUUCAGUUACAUAGUAACAAUUCUUUAAAUUUACAGAAAAAAACACUUUUUAAAAUAGUGAUAACUGAGCGAAUAUUUCUUUUUGGUUUAUUGUAUUGNNN